rnacentral:tmRNA from 1 species
CCUCUUCACAGGCGGGCCUGUUCACCCUAUAUGUCUUCCUGCCGGAGCAAUCCGGCUAUGGUGAUAAACUGACUGCGCAAUAAACCAUUCGGACCCGGGGGCGGUACCCGGCGCCUCCACCCAAGGCCUUGUUAGGCACCUUGUGCGCAAGGCCUUCGGCGGGGGCGAAAUAGGAUCGACGGGGGCGUAAAGGCGGCUCUUUCACUCGGCAUUGUACCACCGUUAUCGGGCUAAACCUAUAGUUGCGAAUGACAACUAUGCUCCGGUGGCCGUCGCCGCGUAAUGCGGUGCCCAAACUGGGAAUUAAGUCCUGAGGGGUUGCACCUUUAGGCGGGGUUCGGAGGCACCUGGCAACAGAAGCCUCCACU